rnacentral:misc_RNA from 1 species
GAUGAAGAACGCAGCGAAAUGCGAUACGUAAUGUGAAUUGCAGAAUUCAGUGAAUCAUCGAAUCUUUGAACGCAUAUUGCGCUCUCUGGUAUUCCGGAGAGCAUGCUUGUUUGAGUAUCAGUAAACACCUCAACUUCCAUAUCUUUUUUGAAAUGGGAGUUGGACUUGAGUGAUCCCAACGCUUUUCCUCACCGAAAAGUGGCGGGUUACUUGAAAUGCAGGUGCAGCUGGACAUUUCUCUGAGCUAUAAGCAUAUCUAUUUAGUCUGCCUAAAAAACAGAUUAUUACCUUUGCUGCAGCUAACAUAAAGGAGAUUAGUUCUUGUGCUGACUGAUGCAGGAUUCACAAAGACGGCUUCGGCCGACUUUGUAAACUCGAUCUCAAAUCAAGUAAGACUACCCGCUGAACUUAAGCAUAUCAAUAAGCGGAGGA